rnacentral:rRNA from 1 species
GAUGAACGCUGGCGGCGUGCCUAAUACAUGCAAGUCGAGCGAACGGACGAGAAGCUUGCUUCUCUGAUGUUAGCGGCGGACGGGUGAGUAACACGUGGAUAACCUACCUAUAAGACUGGGAUAACUUCGGGAAACCGGAGCUAAUACCGGAUAAUAUUUUGAACCGCAUGGUUCAAAAGUGAAAGACGGUCUUGCUGUCACUUAUAGAUGGAUCCGCGCUGCAUUAGCUAGUUGGUAAGGUAACGGCUUACCAAGGCAACGAUGCAUAGCCGACCUGAGAGGGUGAUCGGCCACACUGGAACUGAGACACGGUCCAGACUCCUACGGGAGGCAGCAGUAGGGAAUCUUCCGCAAUGGGCGAAAGCCUGGCGUAGCAACGCCGCGUGAGUGAUGAAGGUCUUCGGAUCGUAAAACUCUGUUAUUAGGGAAGAACAUAUGUGUAAGUAACUGUGCACAUCUUGACGGUACCUAAUCAGAAAGCCACGGCUAACUACGUG